GUCGCUAUAGCUCAAGUGGUUAGAGCAGCGGCUUAUUGAGCCGAAGGUCGCGGGUUCGAAUCCCGCUGGUGACG
rnacentral:tRNA from 1 species